rnacentral:rRNA from 1 species
AGUGAACGCUGGCGGUAGGCCUAACACAUGCAAGUCGAACGGCAGCACAGUAAGAGCUUGCUCUUACGGGUGGCGAGUGGCGGACGGGUGAGGAAUACAUCGGAAUCUACUUUUUCGUGGGGGAUAACGUAGGGAAACUUACGCUAAUACCGCAUACGACCUACGGGUGAAAGCAGGGGAUCUUCGGACCUUGCGCGAUUAAAUGAGCCGAUGUCGGAUUAGCUAGUUGGCGGGGUAAAGGCCCACCAAGGCGACGAUCCGUAGCUGGUCUGAGAGGAUGAUCAGCCACACUGGAACUGAGACACGGUCCAGACUCCCACGGGAGGCAGCAGUGGGGAAUAUUGGACAAUGGGCGCAAGCCUGAUCCAGCCAUACCGCGUGGGUGAAGAAGGCCUUCGGGUUGUAAAGCCCUUUUGUUGGGAAAGAAAAGCAGCAGGUUAAUACCCCGCUGUUCUGACGGUACCCAAAGAAUAAGCACCGGCUAACUUCGUG